rnacentral:rRNA from 1 species
AUUGAACGCUGGCGGCAGGCCUAACACAUGCAAGUCGAGCGGAUGAGGGGAGCUUGCUCUCUGAUUCAGCGGCGGACGGGUGAGUAAUGCCUAGUAAUCUGCCUGGUAGUGGGGGACAACGUUUCGAAAGGAACGCUAAUACCGCAUACGUCCUACGAGAGAAAGUGGGGGAUCUUCGGACCUCACGCUAUCAGAUGAGCCUAGGUACGAUUAGCUAGUUUGGGAGGUAAAGGCUCACCAAGGCGACGAUCGUUAACUGGUCUGAGAGGCUGAUCAGUCACACUGGAACUGAGAAACGGUCCAGACUCCUACGGGAGGCAGCAGUGGGGAAUAUUGGACAAUGGGCGAAAGCCUGAUCCAGCCAUGCCGCGUGUGUGAAGAAGGUCUUCGGAUUGUAAAGCACUUUAAGUUGGGAGGAAGGGCAGUAAGUUAAUACCUUGCUGUUUUGACGUUACCAACAGAAUAAGCACCGGCUAACUUCGUGCCAGCCGCCGCCGUAAAAC